AAGUCGUAACAAGGUUUCCGUAGGUGAACCUGCGGAAGGAUCAUUAAAAUGAAGAGCCGGGCCCGUGGGUGCAAGCCCCGGGUCUGUCUAGCUCCUCCACCCUUGCUUAUCAUACAAAUGUUGCUUUGGCAGGCCGCGCAGCACGCGCGCCGGCUCCGGCUGGAUAGCGCCUGCCAGAGGACCCAACUCUGUAAUCUCAUGAUGUCUGAGUACUAUAUAAUAGUUAAAACUUUCAACAACGGAUCUCUUGGUUCUGGCAUCGAUGAAGAACGCAGCGAAAUGCGAUAAGUAAUGUGAAUUGCAGAAUUCAGUGAAUCAUCGAAUCUUUGAACGCACAUUGCGCCCUCUGGUAUUCCGGGGGGCAUGCCUGUUCGAGCGUCAUUAUGACCAAUCACGCAAGUGGUUUUGGGGCUUGCCAGGCGGCAUCCCCUAAAGACAGUGGCGGUGCCAUAGGCUCUCAGCGUAGUAAAAUCCCGCUCUUGAGUCCUAGCAGCACCCGCCAGAACCCCAACUUCUUUAGGUUGACCUCGGAUCAGGUAGGGAUACCCGCUGAACUUA
rnacentral:rRNA from 1 species